GGUGUAGCUCAGUGGUAGAGCACUUGCUUUGCAUGCAUUAGGCCCUGGGUCUCAUCCCCAGAACCA
rnacentral:tRNA from 1 species